CCCUGUGAGGGACAUAGACGCACAGUUAGCCCGAGUUUCCGCACCCGUUGCUGCCCUAGGCUAGAGCUGCCCGGUGCACUCUCUAGAGAGUCCUCAAAUAAUUAAUAGACUUUAUGCUGGGCGUGUUGCCUUAAUGGUAGAUCACUUACCUAGCGUUCAACCCUCAGACUCAAUCCACAAGGCUGCCGAAAUGAAUACACGAAUAAAUAAACCACUCAGGACUGGGAACAGGGAGGUAGGUUACUACUGGGUUAUGGGUCAAGUUUCCAAAGGCUCUGGAGCCUGGGACAAGUCACACAAGUUCCCAGAACCCGUUAACUGUGCGUUCCAACAGAGAUUAUGCUGUCUUCUGCUUUCCUUCCAGGGAACAAAAUCUAUGGACACCAUCCACAGAUUUAAAUAAAGGUUUAAACGGGAAGGUGGAGACUAUUAGAAAGCUGCUCCAGACAGGCUGUUACAUAGUCCAAGUUGACCUCAAACCCCCGAUUCUCCGGCCUCCACCUCCUGAGUUCUAGAAUUCCAGGCUUGCAUCGGCAUGCACAGCCAGAACUCAUUGUCCUCGGUUAAGAUGAAGGCCUUUAGAGACCGGCUACCAACAGCUGAUGUUUCUCAGUGCCCCCAGAAGAACACUGGUCUCCUGACUCAUAGGUCCUACAGCUCCUGGUUGACCUCCAUGAUCUAGCUGACCAGUAAGAAGUUUUCAGG